AGUGGCGCACGGGUGAGUAACACGUAACUGAUCUGCCCUGUAGACUGGGAUAACCUUUGGAAACAGAGGCUAAUACCGGAUAGAAUCGGUUGAGUUAGGAUAGGCCGAUGAAAAGCGUUAGUGCUAUAGGAUGAGGUUGCGGGCCAUCAGCUAGUUGGUGAGGUAAAGGCUUACCAAGGCGAUGACGGCUAGGGGACCUGAGAGGGUGGCCCCCCACACUGGGACUGAGACACGGCCCAGACUCCUACGGGAGGCAGCAGUAAGGGAUAUUGCACAAUGGACGGAAGUCUGAUGCAGCGACGCCGCGUGGGCGAAGAAGGUUUUCGGAUCGUAAAGUCCUUUUCUAUGUGACGAGAGAGGACGGUAGCAUAGGAAUAAGUGUCGGCUAACUACGUGCCAGCAGCCGCGGUAAAACGUAGGACACGAACGUUAUCCGGAGUUACUGGGCGUAAAGCGCGCGUAGGCGGUAUGUUAAGUUACCUAUGAAAGUUAUCGGCUAAACUGGUAAUGGUUAGGUGAAACUGGCGUACUAGGGUGAAAUAGAGGGAAGUAGAAUUCCGGGUGUAGUGGUGAAAUGCGUAGAUAUCCGGAGGAAUACCGGUGGCGAAGGCGGCUUCCUGGAUUUCGACCGACGCUGAGGCGCGAAAGCGUGGGUAGCGAACGGGAUUAGAAACCCCGGUAGUCCACGCCGUAAACGAUGUACAUUAGGCGUUCGGCUACGAUGGUAGUUGAGUGUUGCAGCAAACGCGAUAAAUGUACCGCCUGGGGAGUACGGUCGCAAGGCUAAAACUCAAAU
rnacentral:rRNA from 1 species